rnacentral:tRNA from 2 species
UUUUUGAAAGCUUUUAUAGCAAUAAACUUUUAAUUUAUUAAAGAUUUUUAAUCUC